AAUGUUGGAAAAGCAGCAAGCAGCUAGCCAAACUCCUCAAAUUCGUAAUAGUUUGAGUGGUUUCGGCAUCUAGUGGCAAUCAGUGUCGCACUAAGGAAGUGAUAAUCUAAUUGAUAAACUCAGGUGGAUAGAUCCGGCAACUUGAAUUAGGUUCUUCUAGUUCUCAAGAUUGUUGACAAGUUAAAUCCUAUGGACAUUCUCAAGACUCUUUGGCAACGAAGAACCAACUAACGAAUGUUUCUUGGUUAGUUUAGAAAUAAGGAAGGAUUGGUUGUCAGAAUGUUUUUGACAACUAUAACUUGUUUUCUAUAACUUAAACAAAAUAAAUCAUUACAUCUAUGAU
rnacentral:lncRNA from 1 species